UACGUAUGGGGCAAGCGUUAUCCGGAUUUACUGGGUGUAAAGGGAGCGUAGGCGGCAGGGCAAGCCUGAUGUGAAAGCCCGGGGCUCAACCCCGGGACUGCAUUGGGAACUGCCCUGCUGGAGUGCCGGAGGGGCAGGCGGAAUUCCUAGUGUAGCGGUGAAAUGCGUAGAUAUUAGGAGGAACACCAGUGGCGAAGGCGACCUGCUGGACGGUGACUGACGCUGAGGCUCGAAAGCGUGGGGAGCAAACAGG
rnacentral:rRNA from 1 species